UACGGAGGAUCCAAGCGUUAUCCGGAUUUAUUGGGUUUAAAGGGUGCGUAGGCGGCUUAUUAAGUCAGGGGUGAAAGACGGUGGCUCAACCAUCGCAGUGCCUUUGAUACUGAUGAGCUUGAAUGAACUAGAGGUAGGCGGAAUGUGACAAGUAGCGGUGAAAAUGCAUAGAUAUGUCACAGAACACCGAUUGCGAAGGCAGCUUACUAUGGUUUUAUUGACGCUGAGGCACGAAAGCGUGGGGAGCAAACAGG
rnacentral:rRNA from 1 species